rnacentral:rRNA from 1 species
ACGUUAAUAUUCGUGGGCCUGGAGGUGUGUGACGGAUCUCGUAAAUUGUCUGCUCUUAUUGGAUUGAGCAGGCUUUGAAGAGGUUCCAGGAAAUAGCCCCUCCAUUAUAGACCGUACCCUAAACCGACACAGGUGGGAUGGUAGAGUAUACCAAGGCGCUUGAGAGAAGUCUCCUGAAGGAACUCGGCAAAUUGCCUCCGUACCUUCGGAAGAAGGAGGCCCUCAUUCCGGGCAACCGGUUUGAGGGGGCACAGGCCAGGGGGUAGCGACUGUUUAGCAAAAACACAGGGCUCUGCUAAGUCGGCUUCAAGACGACGUAUAGGGCCUGACGCCUGCCCGGUGCCUGAA